rnacentral:rRNA from 1 species
CUGCUAUCGGAUUGAUACUAAGCCAUGCGAGUCUUUGUAGUAAUACAAGGCAGACGGCUCAGCAACACGUAGUCAACCUACCCUAUGGACAAGAAUAAUCUCGGGAAACUGGGCAUAAUUCUUGAUAGAUCAUAAUGCCUGGAAUGGUUUAUGGUUAAAAUGAUUCGUCGCCAUAGGAUGGGACUGCGGCCUAUCAGCUUGUUGGUGAGGUAAUGGCCCACCAAGGCGAUUACAGGUACGGGCUCUGAGAGGAGAAGCCCGGAGAUGGGUACUGAGACACGGACCCAGGCCCUAUGGGGCGCAGCAGGCGAGAAAACUUUGCAAUGUGCGAAAGCACGACAAGGUUAAUCCGAGUGGUUUCUGCUAAAGGAACCUUUUGUUAGUCCUAAAAACACUAACGAAUAAGGGGUGGGCAAGUUCUGGUGUCAGCCGCCGCGGUAAAACCAGCACCUCAAGUGGUCAGGAUGAUUAUUGGGCCUAAAGCAUCCGUAGCCUGCUUUGUAAGUUUUCGGUUAAAUCCAUGUGCUCAACGCAUGGGCUGCCGAAAAUACUGCAUAGCUAGGGAGUGGGAGAGGUAGACGGUACUCAGUAGGUAGGGGUAAAAUCCUUUGAUCUAUUGAUGACCACCUGUGGCGAAGGCGGUCUACCAGAACACGUUCGACGGUGAGGGAUGAAAGCUGGGGGAGCAAACCGGAUUAGAUACCCGGGUAGUCCCAGCUGUAAACGAUGCAGACUAGAUGAUGCAUUGGCAUAAUAGCCAUUGCAGUGUCUCAGGGAAGCCGUUAAGUCUGCCGCCUGGGAAGUACGUACGCAAGUAUGAAACUUAAAGGAAUUGGCGGGGGAGCACCACAAGGGGUGAAGCCUGCGGUUCA